UACGGGGGGAGCAAGCGUUGUUCGGAUUUACUGGGCGUAAAGGGCGCGUAGGCGGUCGUGACAAGUCACUUGUGAAAUCUCCGGGCUUAACUCGGAACGGUCAAGUGAUACUGUCGGACUAGAGUACAGAAGGGGCAACUGGAAUUCUCGGUGUAGCGGUGAAAUGCGUAGAUAUCGAGAAGAACACUUAGGGCGAAGGCAAGACUCUGGACAAAUGCUGACGCUCAUGCACGAAGGCUAGGGUAGCGAACGGG
rnacentral:rRNA from 1 species